GGGGACGACAGGCUUCGACGUGGACGAACCGUGGGGACAGUCGCGAGCCGAGGUCCCCGGUCGGCCUCGUUAAACAACCGGGACAACCAAUAAGUGCGGACUCUCACGAGUACGCCCUCGCUGCCUAGAUAACCCUAGGCGAGUGAGGUGUCGGCCCGCCCUCGGCCCGUGGGGCGGAUGACCGGCAUCAGAAACGGGCUCCACCCGCCGCGUACGCCUCCGGCGCGGUGGGGACACCCAAGGGGGCUGGCUUCCCGGAACCCUGCCGGCACGGCAACCGGGAAGCGAGAUCCAGAGUGCCGGCUACGCUCGUAGAAGCUGUCCCCGAGGCGUCCGCGGACGUGGGUUCGAUUCCCACCGUCUCCAUUC
rnacentral:tmRNA from 1 species